CCUACGGGUGGCAGCAGUGGGGAAUAUUGCACAAUGGGGGAAACCCUGAUGCAGCGACGCAGCGUGAAUGAUGAAGUAUUUCGGUAUGUAAAGCUCUAUCAGCAGGGAAGAAAAUUACGGUACCGAACUAAGAAGCGCCGGCUAACUACGUGCCAGCAGCCGCUGUAAUACGUAGGGGGCAAGCGGUAUCCGGAUUUACUGUGUGUAAAGGGAGCGGAGACGGGUAAUCAAGUCAGAAGUGAAAACCCAGGGCUUAACCUCGGGCCUGCUUUUGAAACUGAGUAGCUAGAGUGCAGGAGAGGUAAGCGGAAUUCCUAGUGUAGCGGUGAAAUGCGUAGAUAUUAGGAGGAACACCAGAGGCGAAGGCGGCUUACUGG
rnacentral:rRNA from 1 species